rnacentral:rRNA from 1 species
GGUGUCCUACGGGGCGCAGCAGUGGGGGAUAUUGCACAAUGGGGGGAACCCUGAUGCAGCGACGCCGCGUGAAGGAAGAAGUAUCUCGGUAUGUAAACUUCUAUCAGCAGGGAAGAAAAUGACGGUACCUGACUAAGAAGCCCCGGCUAAAUACGCGCCAGCAGCCGCGGUAAUACGUAGGGGGCAAGCGUUAUCCGGAUUUACUGGGUGUACAGGGGGCGCAGACGGCGAUGCAAGCCAGGAGUGAAAGCCCGGGGCUCAACCACGG